UUUCAAUGAAAUAAUGAAAUGAAAUGAAAAUUCAAUGAAUUUUUUUUUUUCAUUUCAAUGAAAAACUUCAACAUGUGGUGGGAGCACUGUGUGUGUGUGUGUGUGUGUGUGUGUGUGUGUGUGUGUGCCAUGUCCAACUCCUCGAAAA